AUGUUCUCGCAGGCGGCCAAGGCGAUCUCCAGCCCCGUGCCGGUGGAAUGGUACCCGACGCUGGCCGUCGUCAUGGUCUCCGUCGGCCUCAUGCUCACCGCAUCCUUCUUCAUUUAUGAAGCCACGACUUCAAGGCGGAACCGUAGUUUAGCAAAGGAGAUUGUCACAGCGUCCAUUGCUUCCGUCUUCCUGGGCUUUGGAUCUCUCUUCGUGCUCCUUGCAAGCGGUGUUUAUGUCUGA
rnacentral:rRNA from 1 species